AUGUAGUUUUCAGGGAAUGGCGCCUGCGCACAAGGCGGGGUCAUGCCGCCGCUUCCCGGGCCUUCAGGGUAGUGUAGUUUCGCGGGGCGGGGGGCGGCAGGGGGCCUUGAUUCCCCUUCGUGGAACCCCCCAGGCGCGGACCCCCGGCGCGGCCCUCCGAGUAGGCUCCGCCCGCGGGCCCGGAGGCUUUGAGGAUGUCUGCGGUGCUCCAGAAGCUCAAGAGGUUCAAGCUGCGGGCCCUGCACAACCAGAAGAAAUUUGGGGUGGCGGGCAGGAGCUGCGAGGAAGUGCUGCGGAAGGCGUGCCUCCACUUGCAGCUCCCCGUUCCUGGCUCCAGCCUGUGUCUCUACGAGGAUGGCACGGAGCUGACUGGAGAUUACUUCUGGAGUGUCCCCGACGACUCGGAGCUCGUGCUUCUCACUGCGGGGCAGACCUGGCGGGGUUACGCGAGUGACAUCAGCCGCUUCCUGAGCGUGUUCCAGGAGCCGCACGCAGAGCUCAUCCAGGCCGCCCGGCAGCUGCUCUCGGACGAGCGGGCCCCGCUGCGGCAGAAGCUCCUGGCCGACCUGCUGGGCACCGUCAGCGAGAACAUCGCGGCCGAGACCAGGGCCGAGGACGCACCGUGGUUCGAAGGUUUGGAGUCCCGGUUUAGGAACAAGUCUGGCUACCUGAGAUACAGCUGCGAGAGCCGGAUCCGGAGCUACCUGAGAGAGGUGACGUCUGGCGCCUCCCUGGUUGUCACGGAGGCUCGGGAGGAGUACCUGCGGGUCGUGGGCGCCAUGUGCCAGAAGCUCCAGGCCGCCCGCUACAACAGCAGCUACUUCGACAGGGGGGCGAAGGCCAGCCGCCGGCUCUGCACGCCUGAAGGCUGGUUCUCCUGCCAGGGUCCCUUUGACGUGGACGACUGUGCUUCCAGACACUCCAUCAACCCCUACAGUAACAGGGAGAGCCGCGUCCUCUUUAGCACCUGGAACCUGGACCACGUGACUGUGGUCUCAUAAGAAGAGAGGGCUCGCUGUCCACCAUGUGAGGACGCAGCGAGGGGGCAGCCGUCUGCGAGCCAGGAAGACACUUCUCAGCAGAACCCAACCACGCUGGCCCUCUGGUCUCAGAAUCCCAGCCUCCAGAAUGCUUGUGGGAUCUUAGUUCCCCGACCAGGGAUUGAACUCGCACCCUCAGCAGUGAAAGCGCCGAGUCCUAACCACUGGACCGCCAGGGAAGUCCCCCAUCUACCUGUAAAAUGUGAGAAGCCCGGGUGGCCGGCAUCAGGCUCUGCCAGGCUGGCUGGCCCGGCGGGCGUGGCCGCGUGCGGCGAUGGCACCCCCGCCAGCCUGUGGAGGGAUGUCCCCAGUGCUCGUUCGAUGGCCACAGGGUGAGCCCCUUUCAGCGCCCGCCCUGCUCUGUCUGGGACGGCCUGAGUGCAGUUCCUCUGCCGAGUUUAACCAUCUCCACCUGUCUCUCCUGGAAGCAGCCAAACCUUGAUGGAUGUCUCAGCCGAGUAGACACCACAUUCAACCAUCUCUGUGGUUUAACAGAAAACGAGGCCUGGCAGGUGCCUGGGGGAUUGUGACAGAUUGUGACAGCAGAGACGACGUCUCUAACCUUGCUUUGCAGAAUAGAAAAGAAGCGCACGGUCGUCCCCACGCUGGCCGCGGCCAUCCACGACGCCGAGGGGAGAGAAGUAGACUGGGAGUACUUC